UAGUCAGUGAUUUCUAUGUUAAAGGAAGCAACAAUAAAAGCAACACUAAUAAAAUAACAUUAUGAAGUUAAACAGAGUAUUUCUCAAGUGCUAACCUUUCCUUUGUGCUCAACAUUCAUUCAUUCAUUUAA